rnacentral:tRNA from 1 species
GGUGAGGUGUCCGAGUAAGUGUGUAUACGGCAACGUAUCGGGGGUUCGAAUCCCCCCCUCACCGCCA